rnacentral:rRNA from 1 species
GACGAACGCUGGCGGCGUGCUUAACACAUGCAAGUCGAACGAAGUGGCGAACGGGUGAGUAAUGCGUAAUCAACCUGCACUUCAGAGGGGGACAACAGUUGGAAACGACUGCUAAUACAGCAUACUGAAGGAGGGGAUUGCGUCUGAUUAGCUAGUUGGAGGGGUAACGGCCCACCAAGGCGAUGAUCAGUAGCCGGUCUGAGAGGAGGGACGGCCACAUUGGGACUGAGAAACGGCCCAGACUCCUUCGGGAGGCAGCAGUGGGGGAUCUGCCGCAAUGGAUGAAAGUCUGACGGAGCAACGCCGCGUGAGUGAUGACGGACUUCGGGGUGUAAAGCUCUGUUAAUCGGGACGCGGUACCGGAAGAGAAAGCCACGGCUAACUACGUGCCAGCAGCCGCGGUAAUAC